AUAAGCUUUUAUUGUGAAGGUUCAAAAGCGGAAAUAAUAUUUUUGUGUUGCACCUCCUCAGAACUGUGUUUUCAGCAAAGGGGUCCUGACCUCCCACUAGUUCUUACUUACAAGGUUCCUAACUAUCUGUCCUUGAUGUAAACAAUUGAUUGACCAACAAUCUUGACGUUGUCGCUUCAUCUUCCCUUGCACUUUGUGACAUAUUUGCGACAUUAUACGACACGAAUAGAGACACUUGCAUCCAACCACGUUCCCAGAUUGGUUGGUAGCAGACGUUAUACAAAGUAAUGUUAGCUAGCUAUUGCCACAUCUUGUAUUUUUCAGUGGUUGACUUGUAACGUUAGUAGCUAACUGGUUAGCUAAUAAUAGCUCAUGUCAUAACAAGUCUGAUCUAAAGUUGCAGUGCUGUUGUAUUCAAGGAAAACGUCGGCCAUCUAAUGACAAUGGUGCACAUUCUUAGAAGCUAAGAAAAGCACAAACGCGACUGAACUACAGUGACAGGCAUCCGCUCUCUCCCCAGCCAUGGCUGGUCUCCCCCACAGAAGGUUGCGUCUGAGGACUGCUCUCAGGUGGCUGAGUCCACUCAGCACUGCCUGACCUCCAGCCGUGGUCAGAACUUUACCCCCAGGCUUUAGCAGCGGCCUGCUCCAGACACCCAGGCCCGGGUCUUGUGGCGUCCGCUGUCGGGAGCUCCAUGCUGGGGGAGAGAGACCCACCCCGUCCCCCGCAGCUGCCCCAGAGAGGAGGCCUUUCUCCAGGGUUUCAGUGAGGUUCUGCUGAGGCCCCAGACUACAGAGGAAGUUUCUCAGAUCCUUGGGUACUGUAACAGUCGUAACCUGGCAGUGAGUCCUCAGGGUGGUAACACAGGGCUGGUGGGAGGCAGUGUUCCUGUCUAUGAUGAGAUCAUCCUCUCUACCGCUCUCAUGAACAACGUCCUCAACUUCGACUCUGUCUCCGGUCAGUAUCGUCUGUAACUCUAGGGUAACUGUCAGUAUUCUUUGGUCAGUUACGCAUCAAAUUUCCUGUUCAAUUCUCAAAGUUUUGCCCUAGUGUUUUACAGUCCAGCUAUGCCUGUUGAAAUUCAACUAAC